rnacentral:rRNA from 1 species
UGCUUAUCAAUAAGCGGAGGAAAAGAAACCAACAGGGAUUGCCCCAGUAACGGCGAGUGAAGCGGCAACAGCUCAGAUUUGAAAUCCGGCCCCCCGGGCCCGAGUUGUAACCUGCAGAGGACGCUUCGGGGCGGCCCCCGGCCCAAGUCCCUUGGGACAGGGCGUCGUAGAGGGUGAGGAUCCCGUACACGGCCGGGCGCCCGCCCCGUGCGAAGCUCCUUCGACGAGUCGAGUUGUUUGGGAAUGCAGCUCCAAGCGGGAGGUAUAUCCCUCCCAAGGCUAAAUACCGGCCGGAGACCGAUAGCGCACAAGUAGAGUGAUCGAAAGAUGAAAAGCACUUUGGAAAGAGAGUUAAAAAGUACGUGAAAUUGUUGAAAGGGAAGCGUUUGCGGCCAGACCUGGCGGCGGUGGCUCAGCCGGCCCACCUGGGCCGGCGCACUCCACCGCCGCCUGGCCAGCAUCGGCCCGGGCGGCCGGACAAAGGCCCCGGGAACGUGGCCCCCUCGCGGGGUGUUACAGCCCGGGGCACAAUGCGGCCCGCCCGGGCCGAGGACAGCGUUCGCUAGGAUGCUGCGAAUGCAC